CCAGUGCACCCGCAGCCAGCAGAGACGCAGAGCAGCAGUUUGCUAUCAAAAACACUCAGAAAACUACUAAAGUUUGGUGAAAACGUAAAACCUGGCCUGUAAGGAGAAGGAGUGCACUCUGUAGCCUUCCGGAGGCAAUUUGCAGUUGUUGCUGCACUGGUUAAAAAGAGAGACUUAAACCUCCGUCUGAGACUGAGGAGAGCAGAGAAACGGCCAGGUUUCUUACUCCACCUAAGAACCACCCCAUUUCCUAGACUUGGACUCGGACCUGAGCUGACAGCAAGGCGAGCCACCCAACAGACAAAUCCCUGGAUCAGUCAACACAGCUGCACAAGGCGCAUGUGCUGCCCGUUGAGCAUCAGAACCUUACUCAUUACCAGACAAAGGUUUGGGUAGAAACAAAAGGAUUCUGCAUUGGAUUAAAGAACAUUUAACGAGACAAGUGAGACUUUGCAAGCUUUUGGACAUUUAGGAAAACUAUUUAUUUGAUUUUGCUCUGCAUUAACUAUUGUCAUUUGAAUGUUUCUUGAUGAAUUAUUUUGUGUACUUUUAAGGGUACAUACAAUGUCAUUACAGAGUGACAAAUACUGUUAUGAAAUUGAUACAAUCAAAUAGUACAAACCUAAAACAAAGCUUAAAUGUAAAUUAAAGCAACAUAAGCUAGGUUUAAAGUGCAAAAACAUGAAAUAAAAUGACCGGUCAUACAUGAAAGCUAAACAGCUUUGAAACAAGAAAAAGAAAAAGUAAAACCUUAACAGAACUUUAUUUCAAAUAGUGAGGUAAAAAAAAGAGGUUUUAUAAAGGAAACUUUUUGAUUUUAAGUUAAUAUUAAUUGUGUGUCUGUCAUUGGUUGUAUUAAAUUUUGCCGGCUUUUCUACAACCCCUGGCAGUCAGUAACGGUUACUUUUUUAGACCAAGCAGAAAAAAAUAUGGACUCACUCAAUUCUGAGGAAUAAAUUAUGGAAUCACCCUGUAAAUUUCCAUCC